ACCUGAGCCGGUCAGUCCCCGCGGAGAGGUGCUCCGCAGGUGCCCGAUGGUGUCGGGACCGGCAGUGAGCCACCGCCCGGCAGGAAGCGCGACGGGAGGCGUGCGCAGCCCUCCCCGCCUCCGGCCCGGCAGGGCGCCCCGCGGUUCCUUCCCCGCGCCGUGCGCAGAGGCCGCCCCUUCACCUGCACCGCCGCUUCCGACUGGGAGGCGCCGCGCCAGGUCCUCCGGCCGGGGCCCGACUUCCGGGUCCUCCCCGCUCGCUGGCAGCCGGUCUCCGCGAGGGGAGGGCCUCGCCGGGUAUUUUUGGCUUAGGGGGUGUUAGGUUUUGUCAAGGGGGGAAAGCGAAAGUCUUCGGAAUUAGGGAAACGCGACGGAUCUGUUCAGUGACCGGUCUGGACCCUGGGCGCACCUCGAGGCAGGAUUUCCGGUGUGAUGUUGAAUGGGCACGGUGAAAGUGAACACCCUCACCUUGAUAGCAGUCUCGGGAGAAAGCAUUCAGUCUUUCGCUAUUAACUUCUAUGUCAUCAGUAGUACAUUCCUAAAGUGGCAGAGAACACUGUGCAUCAGUGAAGAUGAGGAGGAGGAAGGAGGGGGCCUGGCCAAAGAGCAAGGUGUGGAGAAGGCGACGGGGGCCCCUGAAGGCACUUCCAGAGAAGCACGUGGCCGCGGGCCUCCAGGGCCCAGGCAGAGUCCGGCCCACGGCGUCCACCUGGUGCUCCUGGGCCCCUCUGCCCCCGGACACAACUGGCUCCAGGUCCUCCAGAUGCCCAGGCCAACUUCAGCCAGACAGCGAGGACCAGAGGAUACCCAGACUCCCCCCAAGAAGCUGACCCCACGCAGCAAGUCAUCCCACCCCCUGCCCAGAGCUUUACAAGUGAUACCUGCCCAGGGGGUGCACCUCCCCUGAGCCCCAGCCUUUCUGGGUGGAACCUGGUACAUGCUGAUGAUGAUACGAUCUGCUAUAAGGAUUCACUUCACAAUUACCUGGGCGGCAGGGAAGCAGAUGGUGAGGUAAAUGGACAAGCGUGGGCAGCAUUUGGUGAUGUCGGUGAUGGGUAUAUGGGGCUUCACCGGACGACUCUGUCUCCUCCUCUCUAUGUCUGGAAUUUUCUGUACUAAAAUGUUUUAAGUUCAUAAAAGCUGUAAGAAUUUUUUAACUCCAA